rnacentral:rRNA from 1 species
UACGGAGGGUGCAAGCGUUGUUCGGAAUCAUUGGGCGUAAAGCGCGUGUAGGCGGCUAGGCAAGUCGGUUGUGAAAGCCCGGGGCCCAACCCCGGAACUGCAUCUGAAACUGCCUGGCUAGAGUCCCGGAGAGGAAGGCAGAAUUCCCGGUGUAGGGGGUGAAAUCCGUAGAUAUCGGGAGGAAUACCAGCGGCGAAGGCGGCCUUCUGGACGGUGACUGACGCUGAGACGCGAAAGCGUGGGGAGCAAACAGG